CCCCACCCGCAGACGCCCCUUAGUUUACGUCGACCUGUAUUAAGUGCCUACUGCGAGCCAGGCGGAUGGUGGCGCCCCGGGUGACCCGGGACAAAACGCACGAAAAGGAGCCGCAUCAUAAAGAUAAAUAUGUAAAUGCACAGUGCAUCCGAUCGUGGGAAGUGCCAGGGAGGGACCAGAAGAGGAAGAGAGCUCGAGACUGGCCGGCUAUUUUAGGGAUCAAGGUCAAGGGAGGCCUCUCUGUGGAGGUGGCAUUUGAAUGGAGAUCUGAAGGAGGAAUGAGCCAACCACGCAAAGAGUCAUGAUCAAGAGUACUUACUGCAGGCUGAGAUGGGAACAGCCUGUGCAAAGGUCCUGGGGCAGGACAGAGCCUGCCUGUUGGAGGAACAGCGAGGAGGCCUGUGUGGCUGGAGCAGAAUGAGUAAUGUGAGGCUCAGAGAGAGUGACUUCCCUGAGGAUACACAGUGAAAAAUGGCAGAGCCAGGAUUUGAAGCCUAGCCACCUGGUUUCAGUCAUCAUGCUCUUGUCCACUUACUACACAGCUUUUUAGACAACCAUCAGAUUUCAGAUGGAGAUUUUAAAGGUAGCUAAGAGCAAAAUUAAUUUCAGAUGGAUCACCCACCAACCAAGCAAAAAAAAAAAAAAGAGAGAGAGA